UAUUCGGUUCUACAACAUUCAAAGUCCAGUUCACAGAAUUCAAAUUCGGUUCAUCAAAUCACAAUUUUAGUUCACUAGAUUCAUAUUCAGUUCACUUGAAUACUCAUCAUAAUCUCAAAGUCUAGUUCACUCAAAAAACCAUCUAAUUCAGUUCAUUAAAAUUAGUUCAUCUGGAUUCAAGUUUUUAGUUCACGCAAAUGUAACUCAGUUCAAGAAUUUUGCAAUGAAAACCAUGUGAGUUGUUUUUUUAUUUUAGCUACAUUUCUUAAAAAAUCCAAAUUAUAGUUCAUGGAAAAUAAAAGUUGUACAAUCGAAUUCAAAAAUAGUUCAUCAACAGUUAACUUAUAAUGAACCAAAAUCCAUAUUCGGUUCUACAACACUGAUAAUCUAGUUCACAAAGUUCAAAUUCGGUUCAUCAAAUCAUAAUUUUAGUUCACUAGACUCAUAUUUAGUUCACUUUACUACUCAUCAUAAUCUCAAAGUUUAGUUCACUGAAUUCAAAUUCAAUUAAUUAAAAUUAGUUCACCUGGAUUCAAGUUUUUAGUUCACGCAAAUCUAUCUCAGUUCAUGAAUUUUGCAAAGAAAACUACUUCAGUUGUUUUUUAUUUUUAGUUAAAUUUUUUAAAAUCAAAAUUAUAGUUCAUUGAAAACAAAAUUAGUUCAAUCAAAUCCAAAAAUAGUUCAUUAACAGUCAAAUUAUAAUCAACCAAAUCCACAUUCAAUUCUCCAACAUUCAAAGUCUAGUUCACCAAAUUCAAAUUCGGGUCCUCGAAUCACAAUUUUUGUUCACUAGAUUCAUAUUCAGUUCACUUGAAUACACAUCAUAAUUUCAAAAUUUAUUUCAAUGAAUUCAAAUUCUGUUCAUCAAAAUUAGUUCAUCUAUAUUCAAAUUUUUAGUUCACGCAAAUCUAAUUUAGUUCAUGAAUUCUGCAAUGAAAACCAGGUCAGUUGUUUUUUAUUUUAGUUAACUUUUUUAAAAAUCAAAAUUAUACAUUCAUAAUCAACUUCACCAAGUUCAAAUUCGGUUCAUCAAAUCAUAAUUUUAGUUCACUAGAUCCACAUUCAGUUCACUUCAAUACUCAUCGUAAUAUCAAAGUUAAGUUAGCUGAAUUCAAAUUCAGUUCAUUAAAAAUAGUUCAGCUUGAUUCAAGUUUUUUUAUUGAUGCAAACCUAAUUAAGUUCAUGAUUUCUGUAUUGAAAACCAGGUCAGUUGUUUUUUUCUUUUAGUUAAUUUAAAAAACAAAUUAUAGUUCAUGGAAAAUAAAUUUAGUUCAAUCGAAAUCAAAAAUAGUUCAUCAACAACCAAAUUAUAAUGAACCAAAAUCCUUAUUUAGUUCUCCAACAUUCAAAGUUAUAAUGUACCAAAAUUAUACACAAAUUUAGUUCACUAGAUUCACAUUCAUAGUUUAACAAGUUCAAAUUCGGUUCAUUAAAUCAUUAUAGUUCACUAGAUUCACAUUCAGUUCACUUCAAUACUCAUCAUAAUCUCAAAGUUUGGUUCACUAAAUUCAAAUUCAGUUCAUUAAAAUUAGUUCACCUGGAUUCAAGUUUUUAGUUCACGCAAAUCUAAUUCAGUUCACGAUUUCUGUAUUCAAAACCAGGCUAGUUGUUUUUUAUUUUAGUUAACUUUUUUAAAAAUCCAAAUUAUAGUUCAUGGAAAUAAAAUUAGUUCAAUCGAAUUCAAAAAUAGUUCAUCAGCAGUCAAAUUAUAAUGUACCAAAAUCCAUAUUCGGUUCUACAACAUUCAAAGUCUAGUUCACAGAAUUCAAAUUUGGUUUAUCAAAUCACAAUUUUAGUUCACUAGAUUUAUAUUCAGUUCACUUGAAUACUCAUCACAAUCUCAAAGUCUAGUUCACUAAAAAACAUCUAAUUUAGUUCAUUAAAAUUAGUUCAUCUAAAUUCAAGUUUUUAGUACACGCAAAUGUAACUCAGUUCAAGAAUUUUUCAAUAAAAACCAUGUCGGUUAUUUUUUAUUUUAGCUACACUUCUUAAAAAUCCAAAUUAUAGUUCAUGGAAAAUAAAAGUUGUACAAUCGAAUUCAAAAAUAGUUCAUCAUUAGUUAACUUAUAAUGAACCAAAAUCCAUAUUCGGUUCUACAACACUGAUAAUCUAGUUCACAAAGUUCAAAUUCGGUUCAUCAAAUCACAAUUUUAGUUCACUAGAUUCAUAUUCAGUUCACUUGAAUACUCAUCAUAAUCUCAUAGUCUAGUUCACUAAAAAACCAUCUAAUUCAGUUCAUUAAAAUUAGUUCAUCUGGAUUCAAGUUUUUAGUUCACGCAAAUGUAACUCAGUUCAAGAAUUUUGCAAUGAAAACCAUGUCAGUUGUUUUUUUAUUUUAGCUACAUUUCUUAAAAAAUCCAAAUUAUAGUUCAUGGAAAAUAAAAGUUGUACAAUCGAAUUCAAAAAUAGUUCAUCAACCGUUAACUUAUAAUUAACCAAAAUCCAUAUUCGGUUCUACAACACUGAUAAUCUAGUUCACAAAGCUCAAAUUCGGUUCAUCAAAUCAUAAUUUUAGUUCACUAGACUCAUAUUUAGUUCACUUCAAUACUCAUCAUAAUCUCAAAGUUUAGUUCACUGAAUUCAAAUUCAAUUAAUUAAAAUUAGUUCACCUGGAUUCAAGUUUUUAGUUCACGCAAAUCUAUCUCAGUUCAUGAAUUUUGCAAUGAAAACUACUUCAGUUGUUUUUUAUUUUUAGUUAAAUUUUUUUAAAAUCCAAAUUUUAGUUCAUUGAAAAUAAAAUUAGUUCAAUCAAAUCCAAAAAUAGUUCAUUAACAGACAAAUCAUAAUCAACCAAAUCCAUAUUGAAUUCUCCAACAUUCAAAGUCUAGUUCAACAAAUUCAAAUUCGAGUCCUCAAAUUAUUAUUUUAGUUCACUAGAUUCAUAUUCAGUUCACUUGAAUACUCAUAAUAAUUUCAAAAUUUAUUUCAAUGUAUUCAAAUUCUGUUCAUCAAAAUUAGUUCAUCUAUAUUCUAAUUUUUAGUUCACGCAAAUCUAAUCCAGUUCAUGAAUUCUGCAAUGAAAACCAGGUCAGUUGUUU
rnacentral:lncRNA from 1 species